rnacentral:rRNA from 1 species
AUUGAACGCUGGCGGCAGGCCUACCACAUGCAAGUCGAACGGUAACAGGAAGCAGCUUGCUGCUUUGCUGACGAGUGGCGGACGGGUGAGUAAUGUCUGGGAAACUGCCUGAUGGAGGGGGAUAACUACUGGAAACGGUAGCUAAUACCGCAUAACGUCGCAAGACCAAAGAGGGGGACCUUCGGGCCUCUUGCCAUCGGAUGUGCCCAGAUGGGAUUAGCUAGUAGGUGGGGUAAAGGCUCACCUAGGCGACGAUCCCUAGCUGGUCUGAGAGGAUGACCAGCCACACUGGAACUGAGACACGGUCCAGACUCCUACGGGAGGCAGCAGUGGGGAAUAUUGCACAAUGGGCGCAAGCCUGAUGCAGCCAUGCCGCGUGUAUGAAGAAGGCCUUCGGGUUGUAAAGUACUUU